AGGGUCCUGAAUAAAGUCUCUCGUCAGAGAAACAGGUCUGCUUUUGUCAAUAUGGCAUUUCAGGAAUGUGUGCCCACAGGACCCCUUGCUCAUCCCUUUUAAAUGUCGGUUUAACAGCAACGACCCUGUCAAGCGAGUACUGUUCCAGAGGCCCAGCCGAGCAAGUGUGUAAGGUUGUGAAUAGCAGUCCAGGACCCAGGAACACCCCCACGGAAAAGUGGGGCAAAGCUUGGGACCCACAGUCCGAAGAUAAGAACUCUGUGUAACCGAUGAGUCAUUGUAAGAGCAUGUUGAGGACUCAAGGCUGGGGACUGUGACAGCCUUUUCAUCUUGCAAACAUGGCCCAGCUGCAGUGACAGACCCUCCAGUGACAUCCCACUGCCUGGCUUGAGCUCCCACAGGAGGAGCUCCCACACUUCCCCUUAAGCAUCCUAAAACCAAGGAAAGGAGCCCUUCGGCGACAAAGAACGAAGAGGAACUUUGCACUAAAAAUCACUUGGUUGGCUCAACGUCUUUCUCAACAACAGCCAGUAGGUCGGUUGAUUUGUACUUCCCGAAGAUCUGAAUAGAACUGAAAGAUGAAAGGCCAGGUUGCCAUCUGAUCACCACGUACGCUUCUCUCUGACAAGCUCACGGUUCCCUCCCGUCUGAUUUAUCAUGCUCCUUGGCUUUGCGGCAACAUUUCACAAACUCAUCGAUACAGAAAUUCCCGAGACACUCAUGUUCAUGGCCAAACCAGGGAACUGGUGAUGGGUUGACCCACACCAGCUCCAGGGUCUUGCUCACUUCCCAUAGAAGAUACCAACCAUGGGGUAGCCUCAUCUUAUCAGCAAUUCCGAGGGGACCACGGUGCAGUCGACAGCAAGAUGGCGGAGUCCUGGUUGUCCCUGUGUCAGAUGCACAGGAGUUUGCAAGCACAAGACUCUAGUUGGCUCGUCCUGGGUCAUUCAUUCACCAUUUACUAACCCACCCACAGAACACGCUAAACCCAGGCGGCAGGACGAGGAGGUAAGUACGCCAAGGCCCCGACCACGGCUCACGGAGGCCACUCGUCGGCGGAGCCAUCCAGCCACGUUGGGACCCUUCUUCCCUCACAAAGCCCGGCCACGUCGAAGUGUUCUGGGCUCCGCAAA